rnacentral:rRNA from 1 species
CAGCCGCCACGGUAAGACGGAGGGUGCUAGCGUUGUUCGGAAUUACUGGGCGUAAAGCGCGCGUAGGCGGUUACUCAAGUCAGAGGUGAAAGCCCGGGGCUCAACCCCGGAACUGCCUUUGAAACUAGGUGACUAGAAUCUUGGAGAGGUCAGUGGAAUUCCGAGUGUAGAGGUGAAAUUCGUAGAUAUUCGGAAGAACACCAGUGGCGAAGGCGACUGACUGGACAAGUAUUGACGCUGAGGUGCGAAAGCGUGGGGAGCAAACAGGAUUAGAUACCCCUGUAGUCCCUGUCUCUUAUAC